AUAUUAAUUUGAUAAAACUAAGCAAUCUAGUAAUAUCUCAGAUGCUCUGGUUCUCAGAGGCCAAACUGAUUGUCCAAAAACUUAAUUCAGUUCUGACACUAACCAUCUGUAGUUAAUACAGACCUCACCAGUUAAGGGCUAUGCUAUAAGACUGCCCUCACUUCAGAUUUCAGUCACAAGUCUGAAGUUGCCACCUGUACUUCUGACUAACUGGCUAUAAACUUGGGUUUCCUACAACCCCCUUCUCAGGUUGAUGAUUCAUUAGAAUGAUUCACAGAUCUCAGGAAAGCACUUUACUGCUUUUACUUCUUUAUUAUAAGGAUAUAAAUCAGCAACAGCUAAACAGAAAAGUUACACAGGACAAGGACAUGGAGAAGCUCAUCAGGGAACUCUCUACCAGCGCCACUGACACACUGGCCAUGAUCGACGCCAUCGGAGACAGCCUGCUCAGUGGCAUCAAAUGUCGUAUUGCCACCUUGAAAAAGCAACUGCAGAGUGAGCACUGCUCCAAGCUGGAGAAGUUACAGCUGGUUGCCCGGGAACUUGAAGCCCCCCGAGAGCUUUACCAGCAGAUGAAGAUGCUCCUGCAGCAUCAUGCUAACACAGUGCAAUUUCUCCACGAGCAUAAAAGGCUCAAGGGGGAGAUGAAGAGACUCGUGGAGGGCAGCGUGUCCCCCGCAGUCCCCACCAAGGACACUAUUUCCAUCAGGCGCUAUUUUCAAGAGCUCAUUAGAGGAAUAGACAUCACUGCCUUUGCCCCGCCUGAGACUGACCAAGUGCCGGCCAGCAUGGCUGGGCUCCAAGAGGCCUGGCAGGCAGGCUGUGCCAUGCAGGGCCGUCUGUCGCAACAAGUGCUUGAGGAUAUUUUGUGCAAGGCAGUGUCGGGCUCAGGGCCAAAACCAAAUCAAGAGGCAAAGCUUCCUAGGAACCCAUCUUAUGCUUACUCAGUACAAGGAAGUGAGAUUGGUUCUAGAGAAUCAACCGUGUAAGGUAUUAUUUUGGUCUCAAGAUGUCAACAACUUUUAUCAUUUUGUCUGUAACUUGAAAGUUGCUGGACUUUGCUUCUUAAAAAGAAAAUUAAAAAAUUCUACAUUGUGGUUUCUCUUUUGAUUUUGGUCUUGUGUUGAUC
ensembl:lncRNA